rnacentral:rRNA from 1 species
AAUAGAUACCCAGGUAGUCCACGCCGUAAACGAUGAAUGCUAGGUGUUAGGGGUUUCGAUACCCUUGGUGCCGAAGUUAACACAUUAAGCAUUCCGCCUGGGGAGUACGGUCGCAAGACUGAAACUCAAAGGAAUUGGCGGGGACCCGCACAAGCAGUGGAGUAUGUGGUUUAAUUCGAAGCAACGCGAAGAACCUUACCAGGUCUUGACAUCCCUCUGAAUCCUCUAGAGAUAGAGGCGGCCUUCGGGACAGAGGAGACAGGUGGUGCAUGGUUGUCGUCAGCUCGUGUCGUGAGAUGUUGGGUUAAGUCCCGCAACGAGCGCAACCCUUGAUUUUAGUUGCCAGCACAUUAAGGUGGGCACUCUAGGAUGACUGCCGGUGACAAACCGGAGGAAGGCGGGGAUGACGUCAAAUCAUCAUGCCCCUUAUGACCUGGGCUACACACGUACUACAAUGGCCAGUACAACGGGAAGCGAAGUCGCGAGACGGAGCCAAUCCUAUCAAAGCUGGUCUCAGUUCGGAUUGCAGG